rnacentral:lncRNA from 1 species
GAUUCUCAGCAAAAGGACUCUAAGGAUGCAGAGGAAGGGAAGUCGCCCAAUCUGGGAAGGAGAUUUUUAUUAAAUAUAAAAACAAGUCAUCCACACAUAGCAAUGUGCUUUUCUAGAGAAAACCAUCCUACUCACCAAGAGCCAGGAUUGAGAUGAUGCCUUAAGAAACACCCACUCCCCGUGAGGGAUGUUACCAAGAAGUCAAGAACCACCAGUAACUUUGAAAAGUCCAGAUUACUCAGUCUCGGGUAUGUGUAUCAGCAAUGUGAAAACGGACUAGUACAUCUCUAGAGGCACAAGCCAUGUGGUCCAGCCAUAAUUAUUUGUUGUCACAACUAAGUUUCCUUUCUAUAUGAAAAGAUUAUAUUGAUCAGAAUUCUAA